AAGUCGUAACAAGGUUUCCGUAGGUGAACCUGCGGAAGGAUCAUUACAACGUAUCCAACGUUUCUACCAACCAACCAAGUGAAUCUGUUCUUCUCCCUCCUCACAGCCAGCUGCUGUUACCAGUGAGCAGUAGCGACUGUGUCGAGGCAUGUUUCGCUUGCCAUCGCCGACUGUCUGCCAUUCUCUCGUAGAAUGAUGGAGUCGAUCGACUAGCAAGCCGCGAUCAUUCUCAUCAUCUACAUCAUCUGUAUGUAUGUAUGGUGGUGGUGGUCGCGAACCAUAACCAACAAACGACCUGUCAUGCGAUCGACACUCGUGGAGUGUCUCCCACCUCUUGUUCCUCGUUCGCACGUCCGCUCUGUUGGACGUCGACACACGUUUGUCUAUUCAACGUGUCACAACAACUCUUUGCGAUGGAUGUCUAGGUUCUC
rnacentral:misc_RNA from 1 species